rnacentral:tRNA from 1 species
UAGAUUGAAGCCAGUUGAUUAGGGUGUUUAGCUGUUAAUUAAAUUUUCAUGGGUUUAAGGCCCAUCAAUCUAG